GACGAACGCUGGCGGCGUGCUUAACACAUGCAAGUCGAACGGAAAGGCCCCUUUGGGGGUCCUCGAGUGGCGAACGGGUGAGUAACACGUGAGUAACCUGCCCUUGACUUCGGGAUAACUUCAGGAAACUGGGGCUAAUACCGGAUAGGAAUCCUUGCUGCAUGGUGGGGGUUGGAAAGCUUCGGCGGUUUUGGAUGGACUCGCGGCUUAUCAGCUUGUUGGUGGGGUAGUGGCUUACCAAGGCUUUGACGGGUAGCCGGCCUGAGAGGGCGACCGGCCACAUUGGGACUGAGAUACGGCCCAGACUCCUACGGGAGGCAGCAGUGGGGAAUAUUGCACAAUGGGCGGAAGCCUGAUGCAGCAACGCCGCGUGCGGGAUGACGGCCUUCGGGUUGUAAACCGCUUUCAGCAGGGGCGAAGCUUGCGGUGACGGUACCUGCAGAAGAAGCACCGGCUAACUACGUG
rnacentral:rRNA from 1 species